rnacentral:rRNA from 1 species
AUUGAACGCUGGCGGCAGGCUUAACACAUGCAAGUCGAGCGGGGUGAUGGUGCUUGCACUAUCACUUAGCGGCGGACGGGUGAGUAAUGCUUAGGAAUCUGCCUAUUAGUGGGGGACAACAUUUCGAAAGGAAUGCUAAUACCGCAUACGUCCUACGGGAGAAAGCAGGGGAUCUUCGGACCUUGCGCUAAUAGAUGAGCCUAAGUCGGAUUAGCUAGUUGGUGGGGUAAAGGCCUACCAAGGCGACGAUCUGUAGCGGGUCUGAGAGGAUGAACCGCCACACUGGGACUGAGACACGGCCCAGACUCCUACGGGAGGCAGCAGUGGGGAAUAUUGGACAAUGGGCGGAAGCCUGAUCCAGCCAUGCCGCGUGUGUGAAGAAGGCCUUAUGGUUGUAAAGCACUUUAAGCGAGGAGGAGGCUACUUUAGUUAAUACCUAGAGAUAGUGGAUGUUACUCGCAGAAUAAGCACCGGCUAACUCUGUGCCAGCAGCCGCGGUAAUAC